rnacentral:rRNA from 2 species
GAGACGCUGGCGGCGUGCCUAAUACAUGCAAGUCGAACGAACUCUGGUAUUGAUUGGUGCUUGCAUCAUGAUUUACAUUUGAGUGAGUGGCGAACUGGUGAGUAACACGUGGGAAACCUGCCCAGAAGCGGGGGAUAACACCUGGAAACAGAUGCUAAUACCGCAUAACAACUUGGACCGCAUGGUCCGAGUUUGAAAGAUGGCUUCGGCUAUCACUUUUGGAUGGUCCCGCGGCGUAUUAGCUAGAUGGUGGGGUAACGGCUCACCAUGGCAAUGAUACGUAGCCGACCUGAGAGGGUAAUCGGCCACAUUGGGACUGAGACACGGCCCAAACUCCUACGGGAGGCAGCAGUAGGGAAUCUUCCACAAUGGACGAAAGUCUGAUGGAGCAACGCCGCGUGAGUGAAGAAGGGUUUCGGCUCGUAAAACUUCUGUUGUUAAAGAAAGAACAUAUCUGAGAGUAACUGUUCAGGUAUUGACGGUAUUUAACCAGAAAGCCACGGCUAACUACGUGCCAGCAGCCGCGGUAAUACGUAGGUGGCAAGCGUUGUCCGGGAUUUAUUGGGCGUAAAGCGAGCGCAGGCGGUUUUUUAAGUCUGAUGUGAAAGCCUUCGGCUCAACCGAAGAAGUGCAUCGGAAACUGGGAAACUUGAGUGCAGAAGAGGACAGUGGAACUCCAUGUGUAGCGGUGAAAUGCGUAGAUAUAUGGAAGAACACCAGUGGCGAAGGCGGCUGUCUGGUCUGUAACUGACGCUGAGGCUCGAAAGUAUGGGUAGCAAACAGGAUUAGAUACCCUGGUAGUCCAUACCGUAAACGAUGAAUGCUAAGUGUUGGAGGGUUUCCGCCCUUCAGUGCUGCAGCUAACGCAUUAAGCAUUCCGCCUGGGGAGUACGGCCGCAAGGCUGAAACUCAAAGGAAUUGACGGGGGCCCGCACAAGCGGUGGAGCAUGUGGUUUAAUUCGAAGCUACGCGAAGAACCUUACCAGGUCUUGACAAUACUAUGCAAAUCUAAGAGAUUAGACGUUCCCUUCGGGGACAUGGAUACAGGUGGUGCAUGGUUGUCGUCAGCUCGUGUCGUGAGAUGUUGGGUUAAGUCCCGCAACGAGCGCAACCCUUAUUAUCAGUUGCCAGCAUUAAGUUGGGCACUCUGGUGAGACUGCCGGUGACAAACCGGAGGAAGGUGGGGAUGACGUCAAAUCAUCAUGCCCCUUAUGACCUGGGCUACACACGUGCUACAAUGGAUGGUACAACGAGUUGCGAACUCGCGAGAGUAAGCUAAUCUCUUAAAGCCAUUCUCAGUUCGGAUUGUAGGCUGCAACUCGCCUACAUGAAGUCGGAAUCGCUAGUAAUCGCGGAUCAGCAUGCCGCGGUGAAUACGUUCCCGGGCCUUGUACACACCGCCCGUCACACCAUGAGAGUUUGUAACACCCAAAGUCGGUGGGGUAACCUUUUAGGAACCAGCCGCCUAAGGUGGGACAGAUGAUUAGGUGAAGUCGACAUU